AGCCCAGAAUGGUGCCACAGACAGCUGUGUGACCUCAUCACCUCACACAGGUCAACAUUUUGAGACCAAAGAUGAUGCAACCCAGAAUGGUGCCACAGACAGCUGUGUGACCUCAUCACCUCACACAGGUCAACAUUUUGAGACCAAAGAUGAUGCAGCCCAGAAUGGUGCCACAGACAGCUGUGUGACCUCAUCACCUCACACGGGUCAACAUUUUGAGACCAAAGAUGGUGCAGCCCCGAAUGAUGCCACAACCAGCUUUGAGAAUGACAGUGUAGGGGAGAAUGAGCUCCACCUUCAGGUUCAGCAGCUGUUACAAGAUAGAACAUCAUUACAAAGAAUAGUUGCAGAAAGAGAAGCGAAGAUAGUUGUUCUUCA